rnacentral:rRNA from 1 species
AGCGAACGCUGGCGGCAGGCCUAACACAUGCAAGUCGAACGGAUCCUUCGGGAUUAGUGGCGGACGGGUGCGUAACACGUGGGAACGUGCCCUUUGGUUCGGAACAACUCAGGGAAACUUGAGCUGAUACCGGAUGUGCCCUUCGGGGGAAAGAUUUAUCGCCAUUGGAGCGGCCCGCGUCUGAUUAGCUAGUUGGUGAGGUAACGGCCCACCAAGGCGACGAUCAGUAGCUGGUCUGAGAGGAUGAUCAGCCACACUGGGACUGAGACACGGCCCAGACUCCUACGGGAGGCAGCAGUGGGGAAUCUUGCGCAAUGGGCGAAAGCCUGACGCAGCCAUGCCGCGUGAAUGAUGAAGGUCUUAGGAUUGUAAAAUUCUUUCAGCGGGGACGAUAAUGACGGUACCCGCAGAAGAAGCUCCGGCUAACUUCGUG